rnacentral:lncRNA from 1 species
UUAAAAUUAUGUGUUUUUUAUUGAAAAAUGGCAAAACAUCAUUUUCACGCUUUAGCUAAGAAAAUUCAUAAUUCAAAUAACAUAUUCACAAUUUAACAAACAUAUUAAUUCAACCAUUCACAACUUAAUAAACAUGUUAUACACCAAUUUAUAAGUUAACAGAAAUAACACUCAAUUUCUACCACCAUCACCACCACCAUCGCCAUCACUCGCCGCCACCACUAACCACAUGGACCACCAUUACCACUGUUAUUAUUGCAUCCUACCAGCAUCAAAUCUGCCACGACCAUUAUCAUUGUUACCUACUACUACUACAACCAAGCAACGAUGUCACUCUUCCUUCCUCCUAUCACCAUAAGAUCUGGGUCUUUUUCUGCCAAAUCUAUAUUAGUUCAUAAUUAGCUUUACAAAAAAAAUUACAAGUUAAAAUAAUAUUAUCAGUUUAAAAUCACAACUUAAAACAAUGUUUGCAAUUUAAAACAUUUCUUUAAUACAAAGAUCCAUAAACCAUUAACAGUUAAAUACAAAACAUAUAAAAUAUUCUUUUUCAGUCAAUUUAACUAACACCUUUUGAGAUGUAUCAAAGUCAAAUUCAAGAUGAUUAUAUGUUUUAUCUAACUUAUCUUUUGUUGUCCAUUCUAUCUAACUUUACAAAAAAAAAAAAUUUAAAUGCAAGUUAAAACAAUAUUCACAGUUUUUAAAAUCACAGCUUAAAAUAAUAUUCACAAUUUAAAACAUAUAUUCAAAGUUUAAUACAACGACCCAUAUAUCAUUUACAAAUUAAUACAAAACAUAUAGAACAUUCUUUUUUCAAUUAUUUUAACAAAUAAUUUGUGAGUUGUAUCAAAGUAGAAUUUCAAGAUGAGAUUUUCAUGUGCUUUAUUUAAAACUAUCUCUUUGACUCUUACAGCCCAUUCUAUCUAAGUUUAAAAUUAAUUUUACGAAAAAUUCACAAGUUAAAAUUAUUUUCAUAUUUUAAAAUUACAACUUAAAACACUAUUCACAGUUUAAAACACGUAUUCACAAUUUAAUUCAAUGAUCCAUACACCAUUAAGAGUAAAAUACAAAACAUAUAAACAUUUUUUUUCUAACUAAUUUAACUAACAACUUGUGAAUUCUAUCAAACAUAUAAACAUUUUUUUUCUAACUAAUUUAACUAACAACUUGUGAAUUGUAUCAAAGUCAAAUUCCAAAUUCCAAGAUGAGAAUAUUAUAUGUUUUAUGUAAAUUAUCUUUUGCUACAUAUUAUUUGCAGGAAAAGCUAUAAAAGAGAUAUUUGCAGGAAAAGCUACAAAAAAAAAAAAAAAAAAAAGUGUCAGGGGAAUCUCCCAUGGAAUUGAGAAUAUAUAUUUACAUGAAAAGCUACAAAAAAAAAAAGUGUUUUGCAUCCUCGAUUUCCUUCAAAGGAUCCCAAUCCUCCUUUUUACUAGGAACAUUUUCAAAAGGAACAAAUCUGGUUCAUCAUAAUCAUCAUCCUUCAAUGGAGAAAUAAAAAAACUUAAUCAAAUUGGAAGUUACUUGCUGAUGGAUACUUUGUUCAAAUAUUCACAAUUUUAAUUUUCGUUGACCAAUAGGAAGUAUCAAAUAUCAACAAAAAACUCAAUGGAUGAAAUAGAAAAAAUAAGUUAGGGUUUUUUUUACCAAAACUUGGAGAAAGAAGCUGAAAUCGGAUCAAAUGGUCUGGUCCACCAGCUGUAAACAGGGACUUCACCGGUGGCGGCGGCGGCAGCAGCAAGAGAGCGAGGCAAUGUUGGACGUCAUAUAUAUAUAUANNNN